GCCCCUCCUGCUUACACGCUUAGUCAUAAUUACUUACCUCAGCGGCACCAGCCGUGUGGUAGGAGCUUAGCUGAACAGAGAGGAGAAUCAGCAGGCACAUCACCUUGAGUUUGACCUGUCAGCCAGAUUUCACAGCACCUGCCUGGUUAGCCCGAGGGCUGUGAUUCACCCCCUCAGGAAAGGAGCUGUGAGGUCCUGUCCUGGAGCAGAAACCCCUCCUGGAGGAUAGUUGGAGAGAUAGUGAUGAAUCAGGCAUCUCUAGCUAUUAGCAUGCCUGCCAUGCUCGCCCCACGUGUGGAAGGCUACCAGGAAGAGGAGAUGGCAGGCUUGUUAAAGGAGAGAAAAAUGAGGGCCUUUUCAUGAGGUCAGGUGACUUCUGAGGUUGGAUCAGCUGGCCAGUAGACAUGUCCAGCUUCCGAAGACAAAAUCACAGAAUUAUGGUGGAGCCCUCCCAUAGGAGGGGCACUAGAGGAUACUCAAGGAAGUUCUUCAGUACCCCUGCAAAGCAUUGACUUGACGGUCGUUGAACACAGUUUUAUUGGCCAGAGGAAAACAAAAAAGAGCCUUGCAUGUGGUGGUAAACUGAGCCCACCGAAGAUAACGUUCCAAGGAGGAACUAAAAGAAGCACUUGGCUCCUGCGGAGCCCCAGCCAGGCACAGCCUUCUGCUAUAUCCCCAGACCUCAGUUCUCCAUGAACUCUCUAUGCCCAGUGCCUUGUAUGCCCAUUUCCUUGAAGGGGUCCUGGAAGACUCUGCGGACACCACAGCCCAGCUAGAUGGAUUGAUUGGGAAUUUCUGGGUAGAAGUCACCUUGGGUUCAAAUGGAUCCUGCCUGCUUGCCAGGAUGUAGCUCUUAGCUGCUUCUUCAGCACGAUGCCUGACUGGUGCCAUGUUCCCUGCUGCCAUGCCCCCUGCUGUCAUGUUCCCUGGCAUGAUGAUAACGGACUAAGCCCCUGAAACUAACAAAGAGGUAUCAUCUCCCAUGUCCAACUACUACUAGGGAGAAGGCCCUGUCUGGCUGCUCAGGCCAGAGAAAUUCAGCUGAAAUAGACAACAGAGAUCCUCUCGGUCAGAAGUUACAGUUGUUCUCAGAAGUGACUGUUGUCACAUGUUAUUUAUUGGGAUCCAAAGUGAGGUUUCCCUCAGCCACCAUGUCUGCUGCCUGGGUGAAUGAUCUUCCAGCCUCCUUGUGGGAAAUGACUUGAUGUCCUACUUGCUGCCUCAUCUUCCCUGGCUUCCAUGACAAUCACAUCAGUGGCCUCUAUGUGCAGGACCAUGUGCAGUGGACAGCAGUGACUUCUGCUCAGCUAUGUGAGUGUCCCCCUAAGAACAGCUAAACCUACUUGCCAUUUCACCUGGGCUGAGGAAACGGGUGAUCUGAAUGACCUUGGGUAAACAUGUCUCUACUGAUAGUGAGAAGAUAUAGCGUGAGCACAGCUGAUGUGCCCUGGCCACUCUGUCCAGAAGUAGGCUGCAGGGGAGGACAUUGGCACAUGCUCUGUGCUUGGCCACAACUAGAACCUGGGUCAUCUGUGCACACUCAGCCUCUGAAUAUGGAAUGGGUAUGUCUCUUCUGGGUAACUCUGGCCUCUAGCAGCCUUGGGGGAAUGUGGCUCGACCGCACUUUGUCUUCAUUGCAGUGCAAGACACUCAGAGACACAGCCCUAGACUCAGCUUGGCUAGGGCAUGAGUGUAGGGAUGGCUGUCCUGGAAACCUGGCCCCUCCAUGGGACCCAAAAAGAGGACUCUGCAGAGAGAUGCAAGCUCCAGAGUUUAAAGGGUCAGGCACUCAGACCAUGUAUCCUUGUCAGAAUAGAAUGAGUAGUGAGAAGUCUCAAGGUCCCUGGCCAGUAAAUGACUCCUUUGAGAGAGGCUACCUUGAGGGCAUUAUUCACACUGGCAAUAAUAGAAAAAACAGUAAAAGAACACCCCUUCA
ensembl:lncRNA